CCUACGGGAGGCAGCAGUGGGGAAUAUUGCACAAUGGGGGAAACCCUGAUGCAGCGACGCCGCGUGAGCGAAGAAGUAUUUCGGUAUGUAAAGCUCUAUCAGCAGGGAAGAAAAAUGACGGUACCUGACUAAGAAGCCCCGGCUAACUACGUGCCAGCAGCCGCGGUAAUACGUAGGGGGCAAGCGUUAUCCGGAUUUACUGGGUGUAAAGGGAGCGUAGACGGCAGCGCAAGUCUGGAGUGAAAUGCCGGGGCCCAACACCGGAACUGCUUUGGAAACUGUGCGGCUCGAGUGGGGGAGAGGAG
rnacentral:rRNA from 1 species